rnacentral:tRNA from 1 species
GGACGGGUAGAUAAUCUCAAUUGGAUAGAGGCUCGUAAAACGGAAACGAGUGGUUGCAGGUUCGAGUCCUGCCCCGUUCA